CUCUGAAAGGGGGAUUAUCGUCUAAGCGGUUUUUUCCCCUUUUAUGCAAAACGGUCCGUUACAAUUGGUGGCAAGCGGCGGGAUCGUUCCUACAACCAGAAGGACAGCUACAGGAGACACCAUUUCUUUGGAUUUUACAAUUUGAGGGCAACGCAUGUCCCAGUACAGCGACCCUGACAGCACCGAGAUGGAACCAGCAGUGGAG